rnacentral:lncRNA from 1 species
UUGACCCCUCGCUCCCAGCACUCACCCCUCCCAUCUCUUCCCUAUUCCCUCUCCUAGUUCCCUCUUUCCCCUUCCUUCUUUCCCUCCCUGCUCUCCUCCCACCCCUCCCUCUCCCACUGCCUCUCCCAGCUCUGGGCCUGUUGCCCACUUUUCCCACCACACAUGCCUUCUUUGUCUCUCAUAGAGACGGGCACCUGGCACCACUAGAAGGAAAGAUUGGACAGUAGCCCUUUGAAUGAUGGAGAGGAAAAGAAUGCGGGAGUGGGGAUUCAAUUUCCCCUCUGUUAAGAGUCCUGUUGACAAGCUGUGAGCCUGGAGUGAGGCCUCAGAGAGGAGUCACGUGAGCCUCCCUCUGGGAUCUGGCAUGAAGGAGAAAUGGAUUCUGGAUUUUCUGCUCUGG